CAAGGAACAAUAUCAGAGGGAGUAUAACAACUCCAGAAAGCAUAGCGCACAACAUAAUCUUGGUCUCAGGUACGUAUGAUCCUCUCAAUCUACGAUAUGGUGUAAAAGCCAUGAUGCUUCGCUGAGGAGAAAUUCUUCUGUUUCCGAGCGAGGAGUGGUCUUGUCUUCCUUGGUUCCCCUCUUUGGACACAGCUUCACUCGGGAUGCGUGAAUCCAGAUGUCGUGGGAAUCUGUGAGGACAGCGGUUCUGGUUACAGCAAUCACAGUAGCAGGUGGUCCAAAAGGGUAUCCUCCUUUCUUGGUCCUGUUCAGCUGACGGAUAUACACCUUGUCACCGGGCUGGUAUGAAUGAGUAGGUUCCUGUGAAGGUAAGGGAAAACUGCGAAGAAACAUUGUCAUACAUACCAUUCAGUUUUAUCAACAAUUCACCUUGUGGGGAUUCAUUCUUAUCUCAGCUAAAAUAGCUGGUAGAUAUCUUGUCCAAUUUACCCAUGUUCCUGGGUAAAUUCUGGGCUUUUCCUUAAUAGUCCUAUUCAUCCUU